rnacentral:tRNA from 1 species
GUGGACGUAGCUCAGUUGGUAGAGCACAGGAUUGUGGCUCCUGUGGCCGUGGGUUCGAUCCCCAUCGUCCACCCCA